ensembl:miRNA
UGAGGCAGGAGAAUUGCUUGAACCCAGGAAGUGGAGGUUGCAGUGAGCCGAGAUCGUGCCACUGCUCUCCAGUCUGGGUGACAGAGCAAGACUCCAUCUCA